ensembl:lncRNA
AGCGAACAUUAUGAAAGUAAAAUGCACAUUUCUCGCUAAAAAUGUUUCCAUAAACGCAUUUAAUGGCGUAACUAUGUUACUAUUUCCACCCAGAAUAAAGAUAAAAGAUGUCGGCCGUAUGCUUCUGUGCAAGCUCACUACUCUCUGCCAGUGACGUCGGGUCAAGCUCCACGCUGAUUGGCUACCGCGGCUAAGCGUCACGCGUUGGAGCGUUGAAAGUUCAAUUUUCUGAACUCCGGGCGUUGGUGCGUUGGGCGCGUUACUGCGUUUACGUGCGUAAUUACGUGCAACUGCCGCGCCU